rnacentral:ncRNA from 1 species
AGUAAACUUUAGGAGUAAUUAAUUAUUAAGUUAAUUAGUUUGAGAAAUAUCCUUAGAACCUGAUUUGGUUAACACCAACGGAGGGAAAAGUUAACAGUGUAAC